UACAGAGGGUGCAAGCGUUGUUCGGAAUUAUUGGGCGUAAAGCGCGCGUAGGCGGCUUUGCAAGUCGGGUGUGAAAGCCCUCAGCUCAACUGAGGAAGUGCGCCCCGAAACUGCAGAGCUUGAGUGCCGGAGAGGGUGGCGGAAUUCCCCAAGUAGAGGUGAAAUUCGUAGAUAUGGGGAGGAACACCGGUGGCGAAGGCGGCUUCCUGGACCGACACUGACGCUGAGGCGCGAAGCUAGGGGAGCAAACGGG
rnacentral:rRNA from 1 species